GCAAUGUACCGCAGUCAAACAAUAUUCAUUCCCCUAAGGUCGUUGGGAUUCUAGUGAUCCAAAGUUAACUGUACAUGGAAAGCCUCUUGGACUAGACUUUAUGCGAGUAUGGGUUAAUGCUGAUAUUGUACCAGAAUCUUACUUAUUUCGUCCUAAUAAUGCGAUGCUUACAGUACAAGAAGUAGUUGGUUCCACAGUUGCAUGGCCUUCUAAAAAAGUUAUUCCAAGAGAUGUGACAAGCGAAAUAGAAAAUGAUACUUAAUUUUGAAGGCUUUGUGUUAGGCAGUUGUAGAAUAUUUUGUGCUGAAAGUAGUAACUUUUCAAUAUGUUGAAUAUUUAAGACUACUUGAAUACUUAAAGAACAUUUUGUUGUUGAUGAUAGUGUUGAAUGUCUUAAAUUAAUUUGUGGAUUGUUAAUACAAUGUUGAAUGUUUUUACUUUUUGUUAUUUGAAAAUCAAGUUCAUUUGA